rnacentral:ncRNA from 1 species
GCUUUUUUCGCAGCGGAGCUCGACCGUCCGGUCCGAUGAUGAUUGCUUAUAUUGACGAAUAUAGGGGUCGUUUCGGGGUCGAGCCGAUUUGCCGGGUACUGG